rnacentral:lncRNA from 1 species
UUAUUUUGUAAUAUACAAUCCAAUUUCUCUUAAUUUAUUUUACAUAUUGCAAACAUACGUCACGCAACAAACACUUUUCGUUAAAAAAAACAAUACUUUCCAUUGGAUGUUUGCAUGGUUAUUGGUUACGCAUUAAAACCAGAUCAUUUGGAGGGGAAGAUAAUACUUCUUUUUUACUAAAGGAGAAGAUAAUACUUUUGCCAACGCAUUCUGGUUAUUAUUCGGACGUUUCAAUAAAAUAUCAUUUCACUAAACAGCUAACUCUUUU